CUUUUUAAUACGGCAAAGGUACAUACAUACCCCUAAACUAUGAUAAAAGGUACAUAUAUGCCCCUCGUUAUACUUUGGGUGCAUUUAUACCUUUUUCAUUAAUGUUUAGGUACGUAUAUAUCCCUCAACCUAAUGGUUGAACACGUGUCCAAAUCCUAAUAGCUCAUCUAUAUUUAUUAAUUUUAUUUAUUUCAAAUAAUGAGAUUACUCAAAUCCAAUUCAAACCCGAUCUAGACCCAACUCGAAAAUAGGGAAUGUUCAGGAGAAACCCACUACAAACACACGCGUCUUUCUCACUCUUCUCUCUUCUCUUUUCUCUCUUCUCUCUAAAAAAAAAAAAAAAACUAUCUUCAAAUCGUUGUUUCAAUCCAUUGGGAGUGACUAGAGAUUCAUGUUAUCAAAAUGGUAAAUGUUACCAUACUCUUUCAUUAUGGUGGCAAUUGGGUUAAGCAUCCAGGAACCUGUUGAUGAAGCUUUUGGUGAAGGAGUUGAUUUGGUCAGGUGGGUUCACGGUGCAUCUGCGAGAGGAGAAACACCAGAGCAGAUACUCGAUGCCAAAUUUAGCACCAUUUCUUUUGCUUGGAGGAAAGAAAUGGUUGCAACUCUAAAGGUCGCAUUGAUAUGCACGGACGCUAUUCCUGCAAAACGGCCAAGAAUGAAGAAGGUGGUAGAAAUGCUUCAAGAGGUUACACAAAGUUGAAUCAUCCAAAAGUCUGUUUAAUACAAAACUGUAUGAAGUUCAGUGUUCUUAGCCUAGACUAGAGGUCAAAAUAGUUAAACUAUGUAUAUUGUCUUGGAUUGCUGUUCUUUUCUGAUGAUCAGCUUCGAGUCUGUAAUUUCGAUCUUCACAUUAGGGUGUAUCAGGAGAAGGGUAAAAGCCAGAAGCAGUUCUUUUUAUGGUUUGCUAUAUGUACCAUUUUGUACUAGGGGUGCAAUACGCAUAAAUGGAAUUUUUGUUUGUUCAA